rnacentral:rRNA from 1 species
AACGAACGCUGGCGGCAGGCUUAACACAUGCAAGUCGAACGCACCGCAAGGUGAGUGGCAGACGGGUGAGUAACGCGUGGGAACGUGCCCUUCAGUUCGGAAUAACCCAGGGAAACUUGGGCUAAUACCGGAUACGUGCGAGAGCAGAAAGAUUUAUCGCUGAAGGAUCGGCCCGCGUCUGAUUAGCUAGUUGGUGAGGUAAUGGCUCACCAAGGCGACGAUCAGUAGCNGGUCUGAGAGGAUGAUCAGCCACAUUGGGACUGAGACACGGCCCAAACUCCUACGGGAGGCAGCAGUGGGGAAUAUUGGACAAUGGGCGCAAGCCUGAUCCAGCCAUGCCGCGUGAGUGAUGAAGGCCUUAGGGUUGUAAAGCUCUUUCGUCCGGGACGAUAAUGACGGUACCGGAGAAGAGCCCCGGCUAACUUCGUGCCAGCCGCCGCAGUAAC